AUUGAACGCUGGCGGCAUGCCUUACACAUGCAAGUCGAACGGUAACAGGUCUUCGGAUGCUGACGAGUGGCGAACGGGUGAGUAAUACAUCGGAACUUGCCCGAGAGUGGGGGAUAACGAAGCGAAAGCUUUGCUAAUACCGCAUACGAUCUCAGGAUGAAAGCAGGGGACCGCAAGGCCUUGCGCUCACGGAGCGGCCGAUGGCAGAUUAGGUAGUUGGUGGGAUAAAAGCUUACCAAGCCGACGAUCUGUAGCUGGUCUGAGAGGACGACCAGCCACACUGGGACUGAGACACGGCCCAGACUCCUACGGGAGGCAGCAGUGGGGAAUUUUGGACAAUGGGCGCAAGCCUGAUCCAGCCAUGCCGCGUGCAGGAUGAAGGCCUUCGGGUUGUAAACUGCUUUUGUACGGAACGAAAAGACUCUGGUUAAUACCUGGGGUCCAUGACGGUACCGUAAGAAUAAGCACCGGCUAACUACGUGCCAGCCGCCGCCGUAA
rnacentral:rRNA from 1 species